AGCGAACGCUGGCGGCAGGCUUAACACAUGCAAGUCGAGCGGGCAUCCUUGUGGUGUCAGCGGCAGACGGGUGAGUAACGCGUGGGAACGUGCCCUUCGGUUCGGAAUAACUCAGGGAAACUUGAGCUAAUACCGGAUACGUGCGAGAGCAGAAAGGUUUAUCUGCCGAAGGAUCGGCCCGCGUCUGAUUAGCUAGUUGGUGAGGUUAUGGCUCACCAAGGCGACGAUCAGUAGCUGGUCUGAGAGGAUGAUCAGCCACACUGGGACUGAGACACAGCCCAGACUCCUACGGGAGGCAGCAGUGGGGAAUAUUGGACAAUGGGGGCAACCCUGAUCCAGCCAUGCCGCGUGAGUGAUGACGGCCUUAGGGUUGUAAAGCUCUUUUCUGCGGGACGAUAAUGACGGUACCGGAGGAAUAAGCCCCGGCUAACUUCGUG
rnacentral:rRNA from 1 species